CAGAGACUGCAAGCGUUAUUCGAAUUCACUGGGCGUAAAGGGUGCGCAGGCGGCCAAGUGUGUUAGGCGUGAAAGCCUGGGGCUUAACCCCAGAAUUGCACCUAAAACUACAUGGCUAGAGCAUUGGAGAGGGUAGCGGAAUUCACGGUGUAGCAGUGAAAUGCGUAGAUAUCGUGAGGAACACCAGAGGCGAAGGCGGCUACCUGGACAAUUGCUGACGCUCAGGCACGAAAGCGUGGGGAGCAAAAGGGAUUAGAUACCCCUGUAGUCCACGCCCUAAACGGUGCACACUAGGUCUUGGCGGAUUCGACCCCACCAGGGCCCAAGCUAACGCGUUAAGUGUGCCGCCUGAGGACUACGGUCGCAAGACUA
rnacentral:rRNA from 1 species